UUACAGCAGGGCCCGGGUUUUGAGGGAUAUACCAAACAGCCUGGAUCCUGCAGAGGGGAGUGUCCUAUUUUCCACCCCUAUGAUGGGCUGAGAGUGAGCCUGCCCGGCUGCAGUGUUUGUGGCCCCUUGGCUUGCAGUGUGGAGGAUGGGGUGGGCUGGCGAGGAGGGGGGAGAGUGGAGAGGCAGGGGACCUGCACAGGUGUCCAGGUGAGAGGGGCCGAGGCUAACUCCAGAUGUAACCGGAGUGAAGGCGGGACGGGGACAGAUUCUUCUAGGAGAAGUACUGUCAGGGUGUUCUGCUGGGGCCCAAGGAUGGAGGUGUGAGGGUGGCGUCCUGCUUUCAGACUUGAGCAAAUGGGUGAUGGUGGUGACAGGAGGAGGAGAGGCAGACUUGGAAGAAAAGUUGAACACUUUGGAUAUGUUAAGAGUAAGACAGCCGGGCGCGGUGGCUCACACCUGUAAUCCCAGCACUUUGGGAGGCCGAGGCAGAUGGGUCACCUGAGGUCAGGAGUUCAAGGGCAGCCUGGCCAACAUGGUGAAACCUUGACUCUACUAAAAAUACAAAAAACGAGCCAGGCGUGGUGGGGUCGCCUGUAAUCCCAGCUGCUUGGGAGGCUGAGGCAGGAGAAUUGCUUGAACCUGGGAGGCAGAGGCUGCAGUGAACUGAGAUCGAGCCACAGCACUCCAGCCUGGACGACCAGUGAGACUCCAUCUCAAAAGGAAAAAGUAAAACACCCUCCUACUUGCUGGUGGGAGUGUAAAUGGGUGUCUCCUUUUUGGAGAACUAUUUGUGAAUACCUCUCAGAGCUACCAAUGCACCCACUCUGAUCCAGAUAUUUCCCUUCUAGAAAUUUAUGUUUAUCCUGAUGAUACAGCCUCAUCCCGAAAAGUGAAAGGUAUACCAGGUUGUUCAUUUCAUGGUGGCAUUGUUUAUGUUUAAAAAAACAAGUUGGAAAGCACUUAGUGUCCUCUAUUGGGGGAAUGGUAAAGAAAAUUACGGUCCAGCUAAUCAUGAAGUGGAACAGUAUACAGCCAUAAAACGGAACCAGGAAACUCUGCAUACACUGAUGUGGGAAGGUCCCUGGGACACAGUGUUCAACUGAAAAGCCGAAGUGGCCAGGCACAGUGGCUCACGCCUGUAAUCCCAACACUUUGGGAGGCUGAGGCAGGCGAAUCACGAGGUCAGGAGUUGGAGACCAGCCUUGCCAACAUAGUGAAACCCUGUCUCUACUAAAAAUAGAAAAAAAUUAGCCGGGCGUGGUGGCGGACACCUGUAAUCCCAGCUACUUGGGAGGAGAGGCAGGAGAAUUGCUUGAACCCGGGGGAUGGAGGUUGCAGUGAGCUGAGAUGGCACCACUGCACUCCAGCCUGGCGAGAGUGAGAGACUCUGUCUCAAAGAAAAAAAAAAA
rnacentral:lncRNA from 1 species